UAAGAAAUAAAAUCUUUUUGAAUUUUCGUUUAUAAUUUUUUUGGUUUUUCAACUACAAAACAAGAAAUGUUAUGACACGACACUUAACAAUCUCAACUAUACUACGAUACAAGACUAGAAAGCAAAAAAACAAUAAAAAUAACAUCAAAAAUAAAAAGUCUCUUCAAGCAGCUCCCAAAUGUGAUGGUACAGGGGUAUCUGUCGCGCUUGAGCUCUGUUAAAUAAAUCCAUACCUGAAUGGAAAAAAUAAGACCAAACAAAUUAAAUGACUCGAGACACCAUGUGAGACCACACUUCCUAUUGGGCAUAUGCAAGACAAGAUUGAGAUAUUUUUUUGAAAAUUAAACUACAUGGUCAAAAAUGGCUAGAAAUGCAAACUCAACAUGGAUGACUACUCAAACAUGAAAAUACCCUACUAAUGCUUAUAUGGAUUCAACUCCCAAUGGCCCAAAAUUAAUUUGCAAAAAGGCCCAUUUUUCAAAACGAUCGAUAUGGUCAGAAGCGGCUAAAGAUAUAAACUCAAUAAGGAAGGACCUUAAAAUAAUAUAAUACUUAGUUAUAGACUCAAGAUCCUACGACAUGGUUUGUUGAACCAUUUGCGAAAAUGAUCCCAUUUUGCAAUAAUGACCGAUAUGGCCAAAAAUUGCUUGACAUUCAAGAUUUUGCUAAGAACCCACAAAGUUAAGAACUUAAGACUUACUAGGAAGACCAGAUCCUAUGUGGGUUUCCACAUAUCUCGCCCUGAGUGACGAGAAUCAAGUUCGCGUAGUUCGGGAAGAUGCAACUAAUUUGAAAAAAAUAUAUAUUUUAUCUUUUUGAAAAAUGAUGAAAAAUCUAAAAACUUUUGGAUUUUCUUUUUUAUUUUUUGAAUUUUUGGAAAAUGAUGGAAAAUGUAAAAUCAUUUUGGAUUUUUUUUUGAAUUUUUGGAAAAUAAUGGGUAAGCAUAAAUUUUUUUUUUUGGAUUUUCUUUUUCUUUUUUCUUUUUUGAAUUUUUGGAAAAAAAUGGGAAAACGUAAAAUCUUUUUGAAUUUUUUUGGAAAAUAAUGGCAAAGCGUAAAAUCUUUAUGAAUUCUCUUUUUCUUUUUCUUUUUUGAAUUUUUGGAAAAUAAUGAGAAAGCGUAAAAUCUUUUUGGAUUUUUUUUUGGAAGAUAAUGGGAAAGCGUAAAAUCUUUUUGAAGUUUUCAUUUUCAAUUUUUUUAUUCUUUGAAAAACUAUGAAAGAGAAAUAUGAGUGGGCCGUACUUUCUUCAUUUUUUACCCUUCUUUUCAAGACAUCGGUUCGCCCAAGUGACUGUUUUACCCUCACAGAUGCAACAUUGACCACAUAUGAUGAUUAUUGUUAAUUUAGGCAACGGGCCCAAUUUGACAAAAUUUGGACAUGCUUCCUACAAAAGGACACGGUAUCUGGGACCGAGCCCUACUGGGUCUAAAUGACAUGAUGCAAAUAAAAAUAAUCUAAACACUGACCUAAGUUCGGGAUUCACUAACAAGGCAAUUCGGGGGAGCGAAUGGUCGAUUGUGGUUGCUCAAGCUUUCCACCUAGUCCAUAUGUCUGAUGGCCCCCUCCUAAAUUAAGGGUGACUCAACAAAGAGUUCGUGCAUGCGACGUGUACACCGAGAUUUGUUACAGAAAAAAACCCAUGGUUAUGCAAAUGAUGACAGUUUAUAAAGCGGUAACACAUAAAAAAAAAACCGUAAACAAAUAAGCAGCUAGCAAAUAAUAAAAAGACAUAAACAAAAAUAAAAAUCAAAUAAAGCAAACAAAACACAUAAAAACCUCAACCUAAUAUCCUAAAAGCCA
rnacentral:lncRNA from 1 species